GCUUCGAGCCGACUUGAGACUUACUUAACCAAUGAAAUAACAGCAUUGACGUCUCAAGAUCGUGCUUAAGCUGGAACUUGAAUAAGAUUCGACUAUGAAUUCCGGCCUAGGUGUAGUAAGCCUUAAGCCAUAAGGAAUUUCUUAUGGCGUAAGGCUUACUACACUUAUUGUAGAUCCGGGCUUACCGAUACCAAUAGUCGUCGGUAGGCAAGUACAGAAUUGCGCUACAGUAGGCCUAUUCUGUAACUCGUUAAGAGGAAGUAUUAUAUCAUUACAUCGCAAUAUAUCCAGAGGUUCCAAGAGAGAUUGUAAUUUGGACAACAUAUCUUUUACAAUUUUAAGUGUUUCAUCUUCUGGAAAAAAAAAAACAAUGUAAAUGUAAAAAACACAAAUAGUUUAAGAUAAUUUCAAUAAAGAGUUUCCGGAUACAUGCUGGAUACUGGUACAACGUUGCGCCG